AGUCGAGCGGUAACAGGAAUUAGCUUGCUAAUUUGCUGACGAGCGGCGGACGGGUGAGUAACGCGUAGGAAUCUGCCUGGUAGUGGGGGACAACAUGUGGAAACGCAUGCUAAUACCGCAUACGCCCUACGGGGGAAAGGAGGGGAUCUUCGGACCUUUCGCUAUCAGAUGAGCCUGCGUGAGAUUAGCUAGUUGGUGGGGUAAAGGCUCACCAAGGCGACGAUCUCUAGCUGGUCUGAGAGGAUGAUCAGCCACACUGGGACUGAGACACGGCCCAGACUCCUACGGGAGGCAGCAGUGGGGAAUAUUGGACAAUGGGCGCAAGCCUGAUCCAGCCAUGCCGCGUGUGUGAAGAAGGCCUUCGGGUUGUAAAGCACUUUCAGAGGUGAGGAAGGGUGUGCCGUUAAUACCGGUAUGCUUUGACGUUAGCCUCAGAAGAAGCACCGGCUAACUCUGUGCCAGCAGCCGCGGUAAUACAGAGGGUGCGAGCGUUAAUCGGAAUUACUGGGCGUAAAGCGCGCGUAGGUGGUUUGUUAAGUCGGAUGUGAAAGCCCAGGGCUCAACCUUGGAAUUGCACCCGAUACUGGCAGGCUAGAGUACGGUAGAGGGGUGUGGAAUUUCCUGUGUAGCGGUGAAAUGCGUAGAUAUAGGAAGGAACAUCAGUGGCGAAGGCGACA
rnacentral:rRNA from 1 species